AUACGGAGGGUGCAAGCGUUAUUCGGAAUCACUGGGCGUAAAGGACGCGUAGGCGGGUUGGCAAGUCAGAUGUGAAAUCCUACAGCUUAACUGUAGAACUGCAUUUGAAACUGCUAACCUAGAGUAUGGGAGGGGGAGAUGGAAUUAGUGGUGUAGGGGUAAAAUCCGUAGAUAUCACUAGGAAUACCGAAAGCGAAGGCGAUCUCCUGGAACAUAACUGACGCUAAGGCGUGAAAGCGUGGGGAGCAAACAGGAUUAGAGACCCUAGUAGUCC
rnacentral:rRNA from 1 species